rnacentral:lncRNA from 1 species
CGAGGGAAACCACGGUUGACUCCAAACACUGCAGGUCUUGGUCCAUUAACGGUGUGGGACUGAGUGGACACUGCUGGUGGGUUGUUCUUGUAGGGACAGUUGGCAAUGUAGUGUCCAGUCUCAUGGCAAUUAAAGCAAGUUCUGACAUUGUUUGUGACUUGACCAGCGCUGUUCUGUUGAGUCUUGCCAUAAGCUUGAUGCUGAUAGGUUGUCUUGGGCUGAUAUGAUGACUGCAUUUGGUUAUUGGAGACACUAGCAGGAGAGCGAAACUGCAUUAGGGCUU